UCUAUGUUAUUUGGCUUCCAAGAACAUUUACCAAACAAAAUUAUUUUGCCCAUGGUGUUUAUUAAAAAUACAGCGGGGUCAUCUUUCAUCUUUAUGUGGUCCAUCUAUCAGUCACACUGAGGACAACAUCAAUAUUACCUUUUGUCUAAGCCCCUUGAACCUCCUCAGGAGACCCUUCAUUUGUUUCAUGUUCAUGAUAUAUGUCGGUAACUCAAUCAAACUUAUUGGGACAUUGUUGAUGUUUUUAUAUUUGGAACCUUAUGAUUAUUCUAAGACCAGGCAAUAUUCACAAGUUCUUGGCAUUUUCCUUGCCAUGUUUUGUAAGAAAACAAAACAGAGAAGAGGAAGCAAGAAGAAAGAAUGUAGAAUGAAAGAAGGCAAGCCUGGAAGAAGAAAGGAAGGAAAGGUGUGACAUGUUAAGAGACUCUGGUCAGGAGGGAUAUUUGCUCCUUGUGGAUAUCUAGAAGUAUUAUACUGAUGACAUUAGAAAUGACUGGAAUAAUAAUCUGAAGGAUUAUACAUUUGAGAAAAAUGAAGAGAAUUUUACCACAGAGGAUUUUUGAAUGGUGUAUCUUAUGAAGGCAAGAGAAGACUAUGUAUUUCUAAGGCUCUUACUGUGCUGCUCACUGUAGUCU